UAUUCUCCUAAAGCAAAACCCUAAAAAAGGAAAACAAAUCGAAUAUAUCAGUGAAAAAUCAAAAAAUAGAAAAAAUAAAUCGAAUGUUAACCAAGCUUCAAAUAAAACCCUAAAGUGAAAAAAAUAACCCAAAAAACUUAUCAAAAAAUAGGGAAGAACCGAUACCUAGAUCGAAAUGGAGGGGAGGAGAAGAGAGAGUCUUUAGAUCUCUAUGAUGGGGCUGC
rnacentral:lncRNA from 1 species